AUGGCUAUCUCUUCAAUUUUCUUGGUUUCUGUUUUCUCUCUCAUUUGUCUUACUCCCAUUGAAUCUACCCACCAUGUUUACCAAACUCUUGAAACUUUAUCUUCUCACCAUUCCUCAAAAUCAAAUCAUCAACCUUAUAGAACUGCAUAUCACUUUCAAACCUCUCAAGAAUUGGAUAAAUGGACCAAUGAGGUAUGGAGGAUUUUAUCAUUUAUUUUACCAAUAUAA